AGCAGCAUGGCGCAGCUGGCAGCGCAUGGGGUCCACAUACCACCUUGUGUUCUGACGUACCCGGCGGUCACUCGUUCGACCCGAGUUGCUGCUA